rnacentral:rRNA from 1 species
GACGAACGCUGGCGGCGUGCUUAACACAUGCAAGUCGAACGGAAAGGCCCUGCUUUUGUGGGGUGCUCGAGUGGCGAAAGGGUGAGUAACACGUGAGUAACCUGCCCUUGACUUUGGGAUAACUUCAGGAAACUGGGGCUAAUACCGGAUAGGAGCUCCUGCUGCAUGGUGGGGGUUGGAAAGUUUCGGCGGUUGGGGAUGGACUCGCGGCUUAUCAGCUUGUUGGUGGGGUAGUGGCUUACCAAGGCUUUGACGGGUAGCCGGCCUGAGAGGGUGACCGGCCACAUUGGGACUGAGAUACGGCCCAGACUCCUACGGGAGGCAGCAGUGGGGAUUAUUGCACAAUGGGCGGAAGCCUGAUGCAGCAACGCCGCGUGCGGGAUGACGGCCUUCGGGUUGUAAACCGCUUUCGCCUGCGACGAAGCGUGAGUGACGGUAAUGGGUAAAGAAGCACCGGCUAACUACGUG